UAGAAGCGUCACGACUGGCGAAGGUGGAACUAACCACCGGGAAGUGACGCAAAUACUCCGGCCAGCGUCGCCCGCCUGGGCGCUGCGG
rnacentral:ncRNA from 2 species